GACAGAGGGUGCAAACGUUGUUCGGAAUUACUGGGCGUAAAGCGUGUGUAGGCGGCUUUGCAAGUCGGAUGUGAAAGCCCCGGGCUCAACCCGGGAAGUGCACUCGAUACUGCAGAACUUGAGUGUGGGAGAGGUUGGUGGAAUUCUCGGUGUAGAGGUGAAAUUCGUAGAUAUCGAGAGGAACACCGGCGGCGAAGGCGGCCAACGUGGACCAACACUGACGCUGAGACACGAAAGCGUGGGGAGCAAACAGG
rnacentral:rRNA from 1 species